AGCUCACCUGCAACAACAAGGGUUCAAACCCACAACGCAGAGAAGCUACCUGACAGAUGUUGUGGCCUUUCUGAAAUACGUCCUUAACAUGGCACCACAACAAGUGCGACUCUCAACCAGGAGCAUCAAUGCCCUCUUGGUUGAAAUAAGGGCGCGUAUCAGAGAUGUUAGCCGUGAGAUUGUUGGCCACCGACUGAAUGUGCGCAGAUCUAAGUCUGAUCGACUCAAACAAACAUGCUGCUUUCAUAGAGAGGGCACCAAAAAAGAUCAGUGCUGCACUCGACAGCAAGGAGGCACUGAGGGU